AUCCGGCUGACGAGUCCCAAAUAGGACGAAACGCGUGUCCUGAAU
rfam:Schistosoma mansoni strain Puerto Rico chromosome 1, complete genome